rnacentral:misc_RNA from 1 species
UGAGGAACCCUGCUACUUUCAAAUUUGCUUGCAUGGAUUGGGUUUGCAAUUCCUCUGGCCACCUUUCCACUGGGAUGAUGCUGCCUGUCUGAGCAUGAGCUGAAUUUGGAGCCAGGGUUUUAUGUUCUUUCUGUGGCCUGCAAUGAGAAUGUCAUCCCUCCCCUGCCCCAGUCAUCCCUUCCCUGGUCAAGCCUUUGUUUUUAUCUCUUUAAAUUGCGCUUAUGUCUGUAUCUCUUGCAAGGCCACUAGUCACCAACAAAAAUGAGACAUGAGAUGAGAAGAGAUGGAGAGAGUCCCACCAUUUGUAGGUUAUUUUGGGACAAACUUGUCUAGGAGGGAAUGAAAAGGGAUGAGGGUUGAGGUAUUUUCAUGGAGAUAUUUUCAUGUCUUAUGUCUUUUUGGUUUGAGGAUUCUUAAAUCCACUCUGAGCAUGAAGUUUUGGUCUUAUCUCUAGCUUCACUUACUUGCCUUUCCCUGAAUAUAUUAAUUCUGUAUACAGGGUUGGGUGUGUUACCCAUUUAGAAUGCUGGUGCCAGCAAUGUACAAGUGGUGUUGUUUGGUGUUGACCAAUUGAGCAUUAAAAUUCGCAGUAGAUAUAUUAAUUUAGGAACUUUGUGUGAUUGGUCACUUAUUUUUUUUAUUUAGGUCUAGUAGGUUUUUAUCAUGCUAAUAUAAUUUAUUAUUCAGAUAAAUAGUCUAAGUUAUUUGCUCUUCAUUUUUGCUUCAGGAAUAAUAUGAGUGGAAGUGGUGA